UACGAAGGGGGCUAGCGUUGUUCGGAAUCACUGGGCGUAAAGCGCACGUAGGCGGCUUUGUAAGUUAGAGGUGAAAGCCCAGGGCUUAACUCUGGAAUUGCCUUUAAGACUGCAUCGCUAGAAUCGUGGAGAGGUGAGUGGAAUUCCGAGUGUAGAGGUGAAAUUCGUAGAUAUCGAGAGGAACACCAGUGGCGAAGGCGAGUCCCUGGACAGGUCCUGACGCUGAGGCACGAAAGCUAGGGGAGCAAACAGG
rnacentral:rRNA from 1 species